GAGAGAGAGAGAAGAGGAGAGAGAAGAUGACAUCCGUUGUCCUGCCGCCGGGACAGCCGCCAGAUGAUCCUCCGCCAGUCCUACGGCCUGAUCCAGCGACGCCGGGCGGUGGCACUGGACCCACUCCGCGGUUCCGGCGGGUAGGCGGGCGAUGAACUGCUCCAGCGCCACCUGGUCGAUGAUCCCCUCGGCGUCGCGAUCUUCGGCCCUCAGCCACCACCAGCAGGCGUCCCGGAGCUGCUGGCCGAACGCGAACGGGCUGCCGACUUCCUCCAUUCGCAGCGCGCGGAAGCGCUGGCGCUGCUGCUCCGGCGUGCGCCCCACGCGCUGGAGGACAGCCCGGCGAAGGUCGGCGUAGGCCAGCCGGUGGUCGGCGGGGAUCUGUAGUGCGGCUAACUGCGCCUCUCCCGUCAGGAGGGGGAGGAGGCGCGCCGCGCGCUGUUCCAUCGGCCACCCCGAGGCUUCGGCAACCUGUUCGAACAACGCGAUGAACGCCUCGGGGUCGUCCUGCGGGCCCAUCUUAGUCAAGGUGAUGGGAGAUGGGCCCGCGGCCAGGGCGCUGGUGGACCCCCCCGACGCGAGGAGGUGCCGGAACGCCUCACGGUCUUCCUGUUGAGCCAGCACCAGGGCUUCGAAGCGGCGCUCCUGCUCCUUCCGGAGCGUGACGAGCGCCUGGUGCUGGCUCUGCUGAGCCGUGGCGAGGGCGUGGACCAAGUCCGCGAACGGGGAGGAUUCCAUGGGGCUGCAGGACAGGUGCUCCACGAUCCCGGGUUUCAGCACCACUGUAGCGAAGAUUGCGUGUGGGUGGAGCACAGAGGACGGCAGGACAGAGAUCAGGAUGGCAGUGGAACGUGAACAUGACGGCCUAGGUACUCCCAGCACCAUCUAGCCAGCUGCCGAUAUGCAGUGUUUCUUCAACAUCAAUCCAGAGAAGGGCACAAAAGUUGAAACCAAAACAAACAAGAAGCAUCUGUCAGUGAAUCCACGAGUCCUCACCCUCAUCGCAGAUCUCUCUGAUCAUGAGUGGACAAGUUAAAGAUGGACUUGAACUGAACUGUUUAGACUGUCUAGCAGUCUUGUUACAUGGAACAGUAUACACUAUACUGUAGUUUACAGUAUUAUUUGAUUUAAGUCUAGUGUUUUAAUAAGCAGUUUUAUGGGUUAUGUUAAAUGCAUUAUUAAAACUCUGAAGAACAUUUGAGGUUUUGUUUCUGUGCUUUUUGUGACACUUCAGAGUAGGCUGAAGGCUGGUGGUAUUGCUAAGACUCUCCUUUAAGGUAUUGCAUUCAAACUCCUAUGAGUGGUUGUGGACUAAGAGGAAACAACUUGCUGAUGUUUGUGACACCCCGGAAAACAAGGAUCUUGCCAGGCCACAGUGUACACCUGAUAGACAGCUUGUGAGUCUUCAAGGAGAAAUGAUGACAACACCUGCUCAAAGUUCCAGUUUCCUGAACAUCAUACUGUCUGUAUGAGACUGUCCCACCUGCCUUCAAGUCUGGACCCAAUGAAUCAGACACCAGUCCUGUCAAAGCUAAUUAGAGAGAGGAUCAUGCCAGUCCACAGUGAACUCCUGAUGGACAACAUGUGAGUCCUCAAGCAGAACUGGUGACUGGGGAAUGCUUUAAGUUCCAGUUUCUUGAACACCAUGUCCAUGUUGAGUGCCCUCUUCAGCCAAGUCUGGACUCAGUGACUCGUUACUCUUGCUUAACCCAGGGCAAGUUCAUGAUGUAUAAUUCCUUCCACCAUGGAUUAUCCUUCACAUAUGGACACUUGCUGUUUUUUCAAGAUCUCACCACUGCUUUGUAAUCAGUUAUUUGAUCAGUUCAAUCUGUUUUUCACAGUGUGUGUAAAUGCAAAAACAGUUUCUCAAAGUUUACCAGUAAUAGUCUGUACCUUGGUUUACAUUUGGCUUGGUUAUUUCCUUUAUAAUUUACCAUAUGCAGUUGCUGACUGUAAAA